UAGGGAAUCUUCCGCAAUGGACGCAAGUCUGACGGAGCAACGCCGCGUGAGUGAAGAAGGAUUUCGGUUCGUAAAACUCUGUUGUUAGAGAAGAACAGCGCAUAGAGUAACUGUUAUGCGUGUGACGGUAUCUAACCAGAAAGCCACGGCUAACUACGUGCCAGCAGCCGCGGUAAUACGUAGGUGGCAAGCGUUGUCCGGAUUUAUUGGGCGUAAAGCGAGCGCAGGCGGUCAAUUAAGUCUGAUGUGAAAGCCCCCGGCUCAACCGGGGAGGGUCAUUGGAAACUGGUUGACUUGAGUGCAGAAGGGGAGAGUGGAAUUCCAUGUGUAGCGGUGAAAUGCGUAGAUAUAUGGAGGAACACCGGUGGCGAAAGCGGCUCUCUGGUCUGUAACUGACGCUGAGGCUCGAAAGCGUGGGGAGCGAACAGG
rnacentral:rRNA from 1 species